AUACAUGCAGUCGAGCGAACAGAUAAGGAGCUUGCUCCUUUGACGUUAGCGGCGGACGGGUGAGUAACACGUGGGUAACCUACCUAUAAGACUGGGAUAACUUCGGGAAACCGGAGCUAAUACCGGAUAACAUUUGGAACCGCAUGGUUCUAAAGUGAAAGAUGGUUUUGCUAUCACUUAUAGAUGGACCCGCGCCGUAUUAGCUAGUUGGUAAGGUAACGGCUUACCAAGGCAACGAUACGUAGCCGACCUGAGAGGGUGAUCGGCCACACUGGAACUGAGACACGGUCCAGACUCCUACGGGAGGCAGCAGUAGGGAAUCUUCCGCAAUGGGCGAAAGCCUGACGGAGCAACGCCGCGUGAGUGAUGAAGGGUUUCGGCUCGUAAAACUCUGUUAUUAGGGAAGAACAAACGUGUAAGUAACUGUGCACGUCUUGACGGUACCUAAUCAGAAAGCCACGGCUAACUACGUGCCAGCAGCCGCGGUAAUACGUAGGUGGCAAGCGUUAUCCGGAAUUAUUGGGCGUAAAGCGCGCGUAGGCGGUUUCUUAAGUCUGAUGUGAAAGCCCACGGCUCAACCGUGGAGGGUCAUUGGAAACUGGGAAACUUGAGUGCAGAAGAGGAAAGUGGAAUUCCAUGUGUAGCGGUGAAAUGCGCAGAGAUAUGGAGGAACACCAGUGGCGAAGGCGACUUUCUGGUCUGUAACUGACGCUGAUGUGCGAAAGCGUGGGGAUCAAACAGGAUUAGAUACCCUGGUAGUCCACGCCGUAAACGAUGAGUGCUAAGUGUUAGGGGGUUUCCGCCCCUUAGUGCUGCAGCUAACGCAUUAAGCACUCCGCCUGGGGAGUACGACCGCAAGGUUGAAACUCAAAGGAAUUGACGGGGACCCGCACAAGCGGUGGAGCAUGUGGUUUAAUUCGAAGCAACGCGAAGAACCUUACCAAAUCUUGACAUCCUUUGAAAACUCUAGAGAUAGAGCCUUCCCCUUCGGGGGACAAAGUGACAGGUGGUGCAUGGUUGUCGUCAGCUCGUGUCGUGAGAUGUUGGGUUAAGUCCCGCAACGAGCGCAACCCUUAAGCUUAGUUGCCAUCAUUAAGUUGGGCACUCUAGGUUGACUGCCGGUGACAAACCGGAGGAAGGUGGGGAUGACGUCAAAUCAUCAUGCCCCUUAUGAUUUGGGCUACACACGUGCUACAAUGGACAAUACAAAGGGCAGCUAAACCGCGAGGUCAUGCAAAUCCCAUAAAGUUGUUCUCAGUUCGGAUUGUAGUCUGCAACUCGACUACAUGAAGCUGGAAUCGCUAGUAAUCGUAGAUCAGCAUGCUACGGUGAAUACGUUCCCGGGUCUUGUACACACCGCCCGUCACACCACGAGAGUUUGUAACACCCGAAGCCGGUGGAGUAACCAUUUAUGGAGCUAGCCGUCGAAG
rnacentral:rRNA from 1 species